rnacentral:rRNA from 1 species
AUGCUAGAAAUUGAUCUUGCUAAAGCUUUUGAUAGACUAGAAUGGGAUUUUAUUGCCUCUGUUUUAGCUCGUAAAGGUUUAAAUGCUCAUUUCAUUAAGUUGAUUCAUCCUUACAUAGCUACUUCUACUUUUUCAGUUAUUAUCACUGGGCAGGCUUUUGGUAAAUUUAAGGGUUCCAUAGGUAUAAGACAUGGUUGUCUUCUCUCCCCCUAUUUUAUCUUAGCUAUUAAUGAACUAUCAUUGGGUCUUUAGGAUGCCAUACAUAAUAACAUGCUUUCAGGUAUCUCUUUGGGGCCCCAAUGCCCUCCUAUACACUCCUUGAUGUUUGCAGAUGAAGGAAAUAUGCUCUAG